rnacentral:rRNA from 1 species
AGCUAUCCGCCAGAGAACUACAAGUGAAAAACUUGAAACUCAAAGGACUUGACGGUGUCCCAUAUCGGCCUAGAGGAGCCUGUCCUAUAAUCGAUACCCCCCGUUCCACCCAACCUUAGCUAGCACAUAACAGCCUAUAUACCGCCGUCGAUCAGCCUACCCUAUGAAGGUUUAACAGUAGACACAAAAGUCUUAACCACUAAUACGUCAGGUCAAGGUGUAGCAAAUGCUAAGGAAGAGAUUGGCUACAUUUUUUAUUUUAAAAAAUACGAAAAGCACUAUGAAACCAUGCUUGAAGGUGAAUUUAGUAGUAAAAUAAAUAAGAGAAUUUAUUUUAACAACGCUCUGG